CCAACCCAUACAGCAUUUCUUUCAAGUGUAGAACUACACACACAUUUUGCAUACCAAAUGAUGCUCCCUGAAUCCACAGCUGUGGUAUGUGCUCCCAAGUAUAAACAAAUUGGAAUUUUCAUACUGACACCUACUGGACUACAAGAAAUAUCCGAUUGUCCACGGAGAGGGUUCCACACCCACAGACAGGACACAGCUCUCUUUUGUGAUUGCAGUCAUGUCACCUCCUGGGACAUCAUGGUGACUGUCACAGAUUUGAGAUGAGUCAAAUCCCAAACACCUCAGUUGUGGG